GAGCCACCAACGCCCCGGCUAACAAACAUUCUUACUUAAGGUCAUUGUUACGAAACUCCUUGGGCCUGUGGUCGUGGGGUAGGAGUAAAAUUUUAAUCUGCAUUUCCUUUGUCCUUCUUAUUUCAGGUGACAAUUUCGUUUUAUCUCCAAGUAGACCGGCAAAGAGAAGUCAGGAUCUGACAAAGGGGUCAAGUAAGUACCUUUCCAUUUGAACCCCCUAGCAGCGGCGUUUAAUGAGCAAACAUUGAUCGCGGGUCAUCAGUUUACACAAACGUCCUUGGCAAAGCCGGAAGACACAUGAAGAAUGGGAGCUAAGUCUGAUUGGAGGAAUUUGAGCUGUAGUUAGGACUUCAGCAAGAGGAGGGGCUGACUGACUAAGCUAAUGGAAGGAGACCCACACGAAGCACGCUGUGAACACGGGAGCAGGCCAGCAAGUGGUCUUCUGAAGCCCGGCCGAGAUUGGCCAGGGUGGGUGAAGACCUACCUGAGAACAAGCAGUUGAUCCCUCACUGCAUUGCAAGGGUACAGAGAAGAAGCCAGAACAAGGCAGGGACGAGAGACCAGAGUUACUGGAAACACUGCUGGAUGCCAGCAUAUCUGGCCAAGAGGUAAAGAAGAUUGAAGAAGAAAAGCAGAAACUAGAGCUAAGAUGCUGCCAAAUGCCCCGAAUGCCAUGUGAAAAAAAAAAAAAAGGGAAACUUUGUCAACAGACAGCAGAAAAGAGGUAAGAAGAGGAGUGGGAAUGAAUGACCUCCACCAGGCGCCAUGGCCCUUCCUGGGCCAGCGUCUAGCCCAUCAGGCCUCACAUCUCUUUAGAACAGCCCCCUCCUUUCUCGAGCUUCCAUCCAUUUUCCUAUAUUGAAGACAUAAUGUAUAUUUGACAGCUGAUACUUUCUAGAGUCGUUGGCCCUUUAGCCGUUGAAAUGCGUGGCUCUUGGGGGGGGGAUUCUGAGAGUUUAAGAGCAUCAUGGUAGAAACCCUGCAUUCGCUAAGGUACUAGAAUCUAAAGGAGAUGCCACCAUACUUCUUGGUGGAAUUACGUCUAUGCUGUAAAACAGUACUCUGUGGCUUCAGACAGCUUGGAAGGGACAAGUAUAGAUGGCACAUAGGAAAAAAAAAGACAGUGCAACAGAGUCAAUAUUCCCUCCUUCUAGAAUCUAGAAAAAUGUAACAGAUCCCCAGUAGUGGAGACACCACCAUCCGGAGUCAGAGGAGAGGGGCUUGCACUGUAGCCUGGCUGGUUGAAUUCUGUUUGAUCCCAUUGACCUGGAUCGAGUGUUUUGUUAGUAAAACUUUAAAAAAAAUCUUGGAUCUAGUUGUGGCCUGCAAACUGGGUGGCUGCCCCCCCCAGAAUCACUUCUGACAGACAGUUGAAUGCGCCCCAAGGGUCCUUCUGACUACUCAUGUGGGUGAAAGAAUCUAAAACGUGUGUACCGUUGAAGACACAGUGCACUCCCAGAUUGGUCACUAAAAUACAACAAAGCUAAACCCCCACACUUUAGUGAGACCGUGAACAAGGAGAUAUUCAGGAAUGUUCCUUACCUUUACGGCUACCAAGAUCUUAUCCUGCUCAGGACAGAGGUUGUAGCAUUCUGCGAGGAAAACUUUCCCGAAGGCGCCUUCACCAAGCUCCCUCUUCAGAACGAUGUUGUGUCUCUUGAUGUGUUGAACAACUGUAAAACCAAAACACUUGUCACUCAACGGCAUCUGUAAGAUUUGUCACACCCUGUGUCUAUUCCCUUCCCUUCUUCUCUUUUACUGUGUUUGGUGGAGGAACCACACCAUCUGGGCCCUCGUAAGCAGCAGGGCUCCUAUAGGGCUCCUUCGUGGAUGCAACUUUUCAUAAAACACUAGUGGUGAUCAAGGUUUUGAUGGGAAUCAUCCUCUCCAGUAAUUCACCUUUCUGAUCUCUGUGAGCCUUGAGGACUCCGGGAAGAGCUGUUCGUGAGUAAAAGGACACAGAGUAACAUUCAGUGUGCUCGAAGCAGCAGCUGGACUUCAGGGGAGAGUCCAUUAGGAGAGCGCCCUGUGAAGUCAAGGUCUGCCCAACUUAAGUCUUGACUUUGCUCCGUGGCUGUCAAAUCCUCAUCGGGAAUUAAGCUGCCACUUUGUUCACUUCACACUCCAGUAAGACCCGGGCAAGCAAUUUUGAGAUCUGAUUAACACAUUAAUUAUUUUUCAAACAGGAGGGAUGCUGGUGGCAGGGCGGUUAAAUCCAUAAUUAAUUUUAUUGUCUUCAAAACUACUGUUGAAGACAGUUUUCCAGUGUAGAAAUUAAAAGCAGAAGACAGACCUUCUCUUUAGGAAAAGGGCAGCAGUAUUAGCUGACUUUGUUGUGAUCUGGGGCAUAGAUUAUCUGAAAAUGUCCUUUGCCAAUGUAUUACCUCCAAACACAGUAGAUAUCUCGUUUAUACUUUGGGUCACAAAGAUUUUGUGAUUGUCAAUAAAGUCUACAUACUAAA